rnacentral:rRNA from 1 species
GACGAACGCUAGCGGCGUGCUUAACACAUGCAAGUCGAGCGGUAAGGCCCUUCGGGGUACACGAGCGGCGAACGGGUGAGUAACACGUGGGUGAUCUGCCUUGCACUUCGGGAUAAGCCUGGGAAACUGGGUCUAAUACCGGAUAUGACCUYKGGWUGCAUGWYYKRGGGUGGAAAGAUUUAUCGGUGCGAGAUGGGCCCGCGGCCUAUCAGCUUGUUGGUGAGGUAACGGCUCACCAAGGCGACGACGGGUAGCCGACCUGAGAGGGUGACCGGCCACACUGGGACUGAGACACGGCCCAGACUCCUACGGGAGGCAGCAGUGGGGAAUAUUGCACAAUGGGCGAAAGCCUGAUGCAGCGACGCCGCGUGCGGGAUGACGGCCUUCGGGUUGUAAACCGCUUUUGACAGGGACGAAGCGUAAGUGACUGUACCUGUAGAAUAAGGACCGGCCAACUACGUG